GGGCUGAUGAUGAUAUCAGUCACCAAAUACCAUCUUUCGGGACUGAAAGAGUCUUGUUGACAUUCUGCAAUUCUGAGGCCU